rnacentral:rRNA from 1 species
CCUACGGGAGGCAGCAGUGGGGAAUAUUGGGCAAUGGGCGCAAGCCUGACCCAGCAAUGCCGCGUGAAGGAAGAAGGCUUUCGGGUUGUAAACUUCUUUUAAGAGGGAAGAGCAGAAGACGGUACCUCUUGAAUAAGCCACGGCUAACUACGUGCCAGCAGCCGCGGUAAUACGUAGGUGGCAAGCGUUGUCCGGAUUUACUGGGUGUAAAGGGCGUGCAGCCGGGAAGACAAGUCAGAUGUGAAAUCCCGGGGCUCAACCGCGGAACUGCAUUUGAAACUGUUUUUCUUGAGUACCGGAGAGGUCAUCGGAAUUCCUUGUGUAGAGGUGAAAUGCGUAGAUAUAAGGAAGAACACCAGUGGCGAAGGCGGAUGACUGGACGGCAACUGACGGUGAGGCGCGAAAGCGUGGGGAGCAAACAGGAUUAGAUACCUCAGUAGUC